rnacentral:rRNA from 1 species
AUUGAACGCUGGCGGCAGGCCUAACACAUGCAAGUCGAACGAGUGGCGGACGGGUGAGUAAUGUCUGGGAAACUGCCUGAUGGAGGGGGAUAAAUACUGGAAACGGUAGCUAAUACCGCAUACCAUCAGAUGUGCCCAGAUGGGAUGAGCUUGUUGGUGGGGUAACGGCUCCCUAAGGCGACGAUCCCUAGCUGGGCUGAGAGGAUGACCAGCCACACUGGAACUGAGACACGGGCCAGACUCCUACGGGAGGCAGCGGUGGGGAAUAUUGCACAAUGGGAGCAAUCCGGAUGCAGCCAUGCCGCGUGUAUGAAGAAGGCCUUCGGGUUGUAAAGUACGUUCAGCGGGGAGGCGGUACCCGCAGAAGAAGCACCGGCUAACUCCGUGCCAGCCGCCGCGGUAAUAC